GAUGAACGCUGGCGGCGUGCCUAAUACAUGCAAGUCGAACGCAUUGUGGUUGAAAUGAUAUGAAGAACUUGUUCAGAUUUGAUUUUCAACAUUGCAAUGAGUGGCGAACGGGUGAGUAACACGUGGGGAACCUACCUCUUAGCAGGGGAUAACAUUUGGAAACAAAUGCUAAUACCGUAUAAUAAUUAAAACCGCAUGGUUUUAGUUUAAAAGAUGGUCUUGCUAUCACUAAGAGAUGGUCCCGCGGUGUAUUAGUUAGUUGGUGAGGUAAUGGCUCACCAAGACAAUGAUACAUAGCCGAGUUGAGAGACUGACCGGCCACAAUGGGACUGAGACACAGCCCAUACUCCUACGGGAGCAGCAGUAGGGAAUCUUCCACAAUGGACGAAAGUCUGAUGGAGCAACGCCGCGUGUGUGAUGAAGGGUUUCGGCUCGUAAAACACUGUUGUAAGAGAAGAAUGACAUUGAGAGUAACUGUUCAAUGUGUGACGGUA
rnacentral:rRNA from 1 species